rnacentral:rRNA from 1 species
CCUACGGGAGGCAGCAGUGGGGAAUAUUGGACAAUGGGCGCAACCCUGAUGCAGCAACGCCGCGUGAAGGAAGACGGCCUUCGGGUUGUAAACCUCUGUUCUUAAUGAAGAAUAGUGACGGUAGCUAAGCAGCAAGCCACGGCUAACUACGUGCCAGCAGCCGCGGUAAUACGUAGGUGCCAAGCGUUGUCCGGAAUUACUGGGUGUAAAGGGAGCGCAGGCGGGAAGCCAAGUCAGCUGUGAAAGCUACGGGCUUAACUUGUAGACUGCAGUUGAAACUGGUUUUCUUGAGUGAAGUAGAGGUUGGCGGAAUUCCGAGUGUAGCGGUGAAAUGCGUAGAUAUUCGGAGGAACACCGAUGGCGAAGGCGGCCAACUGGGCUGUAACUGACGCUGAUGCUCGAAAGUGUGGGGAGCAAACAGGAUUAGAUACCCUUGUAGUC